GCCCUAUGAUUCCCAUAAACUGGCUUCUUUCUCCGGUACACGCACAAUUCCAUAAAUAAUAGCUACGAGUGCAGAAAGCUUAGGAAAGUCUGUGUGGAUUUGGCUACUUCUUUCUGGACCCCUUUUUAACUCGCCACAGAAAGGGAGAAAUUUGUGCAUGUGCAUGAGAGUCCGUAGUUACCGUUUUACAGAAAUAAUAACAGAAAUACUUGCAUACCAUAACCAUCUUUUCAUAUAGCCCAUAGUUAUAUGAGCUAGUCGUGUUCAGAUGUUUAAACCCCUUUCUCUCCUAACAACAGGAGAUCUAUGAAAGUAGAUCUAUGAAAGGAUCAGUGUCACCUAAGAAGAUGAUGUGCCUUCUUCCUAAAUGUCAAUAAUCUCUCAUUGUGUACAAUGAUGGCAACCAAGAUGUCUCUUAUUCUGCUGAAAUGAAUAUGUUAAUGUACUGUACAAUCUUAUGAAAUCAUUGGUUUCUGUAAAUAAACCUACAUUUUCCCCCUUGUAA